rnacentral:rRNA from 1 species
AACGAACGCUGGCGGCAUGCCUAACACAUGCAAGUCGAACGAGAUCUUCGGGUCUAGUGGCGCACGGGUGCGUAACGCGUGGGAAUCUGCCCUUUGGUUCGGAAUAACAGUUGGAAACGACUGCUAAUACCGGAUGAUGACGAAAGUCCAAAGAUUUAUCGCCAGAGGAUGAGCCCGCGUAGGAUUAGCUAGUUGGUGUGGUAAAGGCGCACCAAGGCGACGAUCCUUAGCUGGUCUGAGAGGAUGAUCAGCCACACUGGGACUGAGACACGGCCCAGACUCCUACGGGAGGCAGCAGUGGGGAAUAUUGGACAAUGGGCGAAAGCCUGAUCCAGCAAUGCCGCGUGAGUGAUGAAGGCCUUAGGGUUGUAAAGCUCUUUUACCCGGGAUGAUAAUGACAGUACCGGGAGAAUAAGCAUCGGCUAACUCCGUGCCAGCAGCCGCCGCUGUAA